GCUCCCUUCGUCUAGCGGUUCAGGACACUGCCCUCUCACGGCAGAAACAGGGGUUCGAUUCCCCUAGGGAGUACCA
rnacentral:tRNA from 1 species